rnacentral:rRNA from 1 species
GAUGAACGCUGGCGGCGUGCCUAAUACAUGCAAGUCGAGCGAACGGACGAGGAGCUUGCUUCUCUGAUGUUAGCGGCGGACGGGUGAGUAACACGUGGAUAACCUACCUAUAGACUGGGAUAACUUCGGGAAACCGGAGCUAAUACCGGAUGAUAUUUUGAACCGCAUGGUUCAAAAGUGAAAGACGGUCUUGCUGUCACUUAUAGAUGGAUCCGCGCUGCAUUAGCUAGUUGGUAAGGUAACGGCUUACCAAGGCAACGAUGCAUAGCCGACCUGAGAGGGUGAUCGGCCACACUGGAACUGAGACACGGUCCAGACUCCUACGGGAGGCAGCAGUAGGGAAUCUUCCGCAAUGGGCGAAAGCCUGACGGAGCAACGCCGCGUGAGUGAUGAAGGUCUUCGGAUCGUAAAACUCUGUUAUUAGGGAAGAACAUAUGUGUAAGUAACUGUGCACAUCUUGACGGUACCUAAUCAGAAAGCCACGGCUAACUACGUG